CGGGGUAUAGUAUAAUGGUAGUACGCGCCCAUGGGGUGGGUGUAGCUUGGGUUCGAUUCCCAAUACCCCGA
rnacentral:tRNA from 1 species